rnacentral:tRNA from 1 species
GGGGGAUUGGCUCAGUUGGUAGAGCGUCUCGUUUGCACCGAGAAGGUCAGCGGUUCGAAUCCGCUAUCCUCCACCA